GAUUUUUCAAUGGCCGCGGUAAUUUGACCGUGCAAAGGUAGCAUAAUCACUUGUCUCUUAAAUGGAGGCUAGAAUGAAUGGUUGGACGAAAUAUAUACUUUCUUUGUAGUAUUAAUUUGAAUUUGAUUUUUGAGUUAAAAAGCUUAAAUUUUUUUAUGGGACGAGAAGACCCUGUAAAAUUUUAUACUGAAUCAUUUUAAUUGUUUUUGGUUUAUUAUUGACUUUUUUUAUUGUUUUAGUAUUUUGUUGGGGCGACAGGAAGAUUUUUUUAACUCUUCUUAUUUUUUUUCAUUGAUUUAUGUUUUAUUUUGAUCCUUUAUUAAAGAUUAAAAGAUUAAAUUACCUCAGGGAUAACAGCGUAAUCCUUUUGGAGAGUUCUUAUCAAUAAAAGGGUUUGCGACCUCGAU
rnacentral:rRNA from 1 species